rnacentral:rRNA from 1 species
UACGGCGGAUGCAAGCGUUAUCCGGAAUGAUUGGGCGUAAAGCGUCCGCAGGUGGCAAUGUAAGUCUGCUGUCAAAGCGUCUGGCUCAACCAGAUAAAGGCAGUGGAAACUACAUAGCUAGAGUAAGGUAGGGGUAGAGGGAAUUCCUGGUGUAGCGGUGAAAUGCGUAGAGAUCAGGAAGAACACCGGUGGCGAAAGCGCUCUGCUGGACCUUAACUGACACUGAGGGACGAAAGCUAGGGGAGCGAAUGGG